GCCCGCUUGGCUGCCUCUCCCAGGCGAUUUGCGUGGAUUCCGGCUCCUUCCAUUGAUCGGCCGCCUCUCGCCUUUCCCGUAUAUAUAUAUCCUUUCGCGCAUGGUGGGGGAGGCGGGGUGGGGGGUGGGCAGAGCCCGGGAUUCGGAUGCCAUUGGAAGACGGGUGGCGAUCCUUGCUGGCUGCACAGCUCUCCCUCUCUGCGGGCAAACGGCGGCGUCUCCGUCAGGGAGAAAGGCCCAGAUUUUCUAUAUAUAUUAUUAAAAAUAAAAUAAAAUGGGGUGGGGUGGGAGGACCGCAUGACGCGCGCGUGCCGGGGAAGGCUACCCGAGACGCGUGUCAGGUUCCCUCCCCUCCUCCCUUUCCGCUGAACAUAUUGCAAGACGUUGCAUACUCUCCCCACGCCCGUCUACCAGGGUUUUUUUAAAAAAAAAAAUCAUCAUCGUUAAUUUUUAUGCGAUUUGUCCAAAUGGAUGGCCUGGAAAGCUAAACCACGUAGGCUGGGGGAGGGGGAAGCCGGUUUUGACAGCAGUUGCGAGGGUGCGUGUGUUCCUUCCUACUUGAGCCACUUGUCGGCUGCAUGGAAGUGGGCGUGGUCCCGAUGCUUUAAAAACCAGCUCCCCCACCCCCCAACAUAUUUAAUAUCUUUAAAUCGCAGUUCUAAUCGGGAGACUGCGAAGUUCGUAAUGCACACACUUACUUAGGAGUAAGCCUCGUUGAAUUGAACGGGGGUUUGCUUCCGAGUAGGCGCGCGUAGGUCGUUGUUGCAUAUCUCUACUUGAUGGGAGAAAUGCGCUUUCCGAGCGCGCUGUGCUGCCCUCCUUGGUCGCAGCGAAGACGAACCAGCGACUGGGAAACAUCCAUUUCCCAGCAUUGCGCAUUAGAUUGGUUUCGUUGCAGCGGUUGUGCCGGAAGCAGCAGAGCUAUCAAACCACUGGCAGUGGCUGGAGUUGAAAAUUGCAUUUAAAAAUCGUUAGUAUAAUUUGCUCUUAUUUCCUGUGCUUGCACAGCAAGAGGUCCUAAGGAGUACAAAAGUGAUAAUUAUUUCUGCAAAUCCAUAUGCUGCCUUCUUUCAUCUUUCCAGUAUGUCAAACCCCAUACACAAGGUUCUGCUGUUUCCUCCCUCACCUUGGAGUACAAAAGGCAAAUUCAGAAAUGAUGGUCAGAAGUCAUGUUCACACCAUAGGUUCUUUAUUGGCCAGGAUGUUUUUCUGUCUUGAUUUCAAUUGAGAGAAUGUGACUCUAAUAAUGCCUCACCCGAAGAUAAAUAAACAGGUUUAUCAUUGCAGUUUGGAAGGCAAUAGAUUUCCUACACAAUUAUAAAGAACAAUGCAACUCUAGCGGGUGCGGUUAAUGGCAUCUAGUAGAUGGCUGUCAUUUUUGAGAUCUCUGAUCUCUCGACACACCAAGCCCGAUCCUUUGUGUAUGGGGAAAUUAAUUUCUUUUCCAUUUUGGUAUUUUAAAUAAGAUUACUCAUAUGCAGAGAGUGCUUUUCUGCUUGGAAGGUUGAGCCUCUGGCCUUUAAUGUGUGGUAAUAAAACUCCGAAGGCUUGGUGUACAAGCUGUCAAUUGUGAGACCUGGGUGAGGCCAGCGGUGACAACAGUCAGCAGUGAUGGGAAUGCACUCUGCACGUACUCAUCCACUUUUCAUUAUUCCAUCACAUGCUCCAGGGCUGGGCCAGGCCAUUGCAAAUGGACUCUGGGGCUUUGACCCGGCUCAGAUUGUUCCCUGUGGCAAGCAUGAUGAUGAUAACACAAUAUUCAUUCUGAUCCCACACAAUGUAAUGCAUAUGUGGAUACUGGCAAAGGAAACCAGGUGUACGUUUGCAAAGCUAGGCAGGGUCCGCUAGGGUUUUUUUUUUUAAUGGUUUCACUGCACCGUGAUUCAGAACCUUGCCUUCAGGUAUGGUGGCUCCAUUCACAUAACAAAAUGUGGGUUCUAGAAUGUGGAGAAAGCAGGCUGCCAAAUAAAGGCUGGAUACCAUGCACGUUUAACUAUGUUCAGGGAGGCUUAUCCCAGGAAAGUGUGCAUAAGCGCACAGUGCAAUCCUCUACCUGCCUAGCCUAUGCAGGAGAAAGCUGUUACUUAGGAUUGCAACUUGGAAUUAUCAUUCUGAAAACGUUGCAGUUGAAAUGCCACGUGGUCCCGUCUUAUCUACAGUUCGCCGAAGGCCCUGCUAGCAACGACGAUGGCGAUGCAGCAGCAGCAGACAUACAAAUCAAAUGCAAAGGAGGCGGAGGGCCGAGUCGCUUGGACCGUCGGGUGGCAUCUUUUCUGCCGACCCACAGACAAGUUGGGCCUGCCGGGUGGAGGCCCGGAGGCGCCCACGUGGCGGUGUGCAUCGCUGGGGCCUGCGACAAGGCUUGCUUCUGUGUGGGUGGGUGUAUGCAUUGCGUGCGUCUGCCGGCGUCGUUUUCAAACUGCCCAGGCUGGUCAAUCGAGCGAGGAGGAAGUGUGAAACAAAUGGCCAAGAUCUGUCAGUGCUCCGCAUGCCCUGCGGCCUUUCCGUUUAUUAGAUUAACCCUCCCCCCCUUCUCCGGUCCGGCGCGCGCGGCCUCCGCUGGAGAGGUUGCAGAGUGUGUCUCCAUCCGGCAUAUCCUUUACAAAACCCUUCCGCUGGGUUUGCAGCUGAGCUGGCCCCCCAGCCAACCUGCGGGGGGUGGGGAGAGAGAGAGAGAGAGAGAGAGAAGGAAGGCACAGAUCGACGGACCUGAUAGGAGACUCGUCGCUCUCCCCUCUGGAGCGCGGAAGGCCUAAGUGGGCGCACGCUGGCGCCGCGCGACGAAGGCGCACGGUUAUAAAGGUCACGUUAAAACAAUUGGAGCUGGCGGUGCAAGAAGGGAUACGGUGAACGCCUGACUUGGAGCGCGCAUGCUGGGGUGCGGGGUGGGACGGGUGCGCGCUUGACUAUUAAUCAUCCGUAAAGAUAAUUGCUUUUCCUAUCUGAAGAAAAUGCAGCCUCUGAGCCCUAUAUGGCAUUAAACCUGCGUUUUCCCUCCCGCACCCCCUCUUUGUCUUCCUCGUGGAAAAGAAAUUGGACGCUGCAAAAACACGUCUCCUGACGCUGAAUUUUAAUACCCGGUGUAUCAGUCACACGUCCUCCAUUUGCGCCAAUGUAUAAAUACCAUGACUUGUAUAUUAAUGCUUUUAUCAAUAUGUUUUUGUUCGCUUUUAAUGGGACCAGCAUGUCAAUGGCCGGUAAAGCUCUUCAGACCAAUUAAAAGCACCCCGGAUUGGAUGAUUAUAUUAGUACUUGGUGUGGGGCGAUCGAUAUUUAAUUGCUUAAGCAAAUAACAACAGUCUUUUUUUCAUGCUGAACAUAUAGCAGGGGGUGUAAUGACUUUUUGCCCCUGCUGCCUAGAUAUUUAUGGGGGACGCAUCUCUUUCUGCUUCCGCAAAAUGGAGCCGCCACCGAGCACGCAAACUGCGAGAAAAGUUUCUGCGCGAUCUGGGAGGCGCGGCCCAUGAUCCUCGUGGGACUUUUUUUACUGAGUGGAAAAGGCCAAGCAAGCGAGAACAUGAGCUGCACACGUAGGAGGAGAAACCAGCGGGCCGUCCUGAGUCGAGUCUCUUUUAAACCAAGGGGAAUUGUGCAAGAGCGCCGCCGUUUAUUUCAGUGGGGUGGGGGCUUGCGCGGGAGAACUUCCCGCUGCAUUUAGGCGGAUGAUCCUGUAUCUUUGUACGUCCGUCCAUCCGUGCUCAAAAAAACGAGGAAAGGCAUUUGCCAUUUUAUUGUAUAAUAUAAUUAUAUCUAUAUCUACCUACAUAUCUAAAACAACUACACAGACACACAAUGACCGCGGUGAGAUCUUGUUUCAAAAAACCACGUUGGUGUUUUCAAGAUCCCGUUAGAAUAUACUGAUGGAAAAUAGGAGUUUAGAGUAUGGCUGAACUUACUUCCGUUUUAAAUGAAAUCAAUACGUGAUGACGAGUCAACAUUAUUAGUGAUUGAGGCCAGCUCCUAAUCAGAAGUAAACACUGACCGACGAAUCAAUAAAGGGGACUUUUAGAGAAAUUCCGAAACCUCAGCAGCUAUUAAAGAGACUUUUAGAAAACUAGCGAAUUCGAGACUAUUGACCGUCAGUAUAUUUCGGAACAAUUGUUUUUAAUAAUAGCAACUUAACCUUCGCGCUACAUAAGUAAAAAUCAAAAUAUUUUUAUCUUGAUUAAUAAAAAGGAACGCAUAGAAAUAGUACAGA